CACUGCGAAAACUGUCGCCGCAACGGGCACACUACUGCAGCCUGCUGGUUUGGCGCUGGGACAUCGCGACCGCAAUUAAGACAGAAUUCGAGGCUCAGCACCGGAGAACAGUAGUACAAGGGCCGUGGGACACAGCCUACACAGGAUGGCCGAGUGUUAUCAAGUAUACAAUAGUCGCCCAACGGUUAUGACGUAGUUCAUAUUUUUUUGUAAUCUAUACAUAUAAUAAAAUGGUAGGAAAGUCAAAA